rnacentral:rRNA from 1 species
GAUGAACGCUAGCGGCAGGCCUAACACAUGCAAGUCGAGGGGCAGCAUAAAACAAGCUUGCUUGUUUGGUGGCGACCGGCGCACGGGUGCGUAACGCGUAUGCAACCUACCCUGUACUGGGGGAUAGCCCGGAGAAAUUCGGAUUAACACCCCAUAGUAUUCUUGAAUGGCAUCAUUUAAGAAUUAAAGGUUACGGUACAGGAUGGGCAUGCGUCCUAUUAGCUAGAUGGUGAGGUAACGGCUCACCAUGGCGACGAUAGGUAGGGGGCCUGAGAGGGUGGUCCCCCACACUGGUACUGAGACACGGACCAGACUCCUACGGGAGGCAGCAGUGAGGAAUAUUGGUCAAUGGGCGCAAGCCUGAACCAGCCAUGCCGCGUGCAGGAAGAAGGUCCUAUGGAUUGUAAACUGCUUUUAUUUGGGAAUAAACCUCCUUACGUGUAGGGAGCUGAAGGUACCAAAUGAAUAAGCACCGGCUAACUCUGUGCCAGCAGCCGCCGUAACAC